ensembl:lncRNA
AUGGAUGAUAAGUUCACAAAUGGACGGAAGCGGCUAUAUGAUGAGCCCACUCAAAGCCAUUUGGAUUUGAAUGGAGCUCAUACGAAACCAGGAAUAUGGAAACUUGAUCAAGAUGGCAGGUUAUCAGGAGGAAGAGCGCUGGGUGCUGGUGUCCUCAUCACGUUCUCAACUUACUGUUACUGUAUGGCAGAUUUCGUUGAGCAAUUCAUUUGGUUUUGGGCUGUUCCCUGGCGUCCAAACCUCCCAGAGAAAUGUCUGAGGCCUUGAUAUAUUCCUCUCAGGUUUCCAUGGCCGCACCGCCCGGGCCAGAUCCCGUUGCACUGAUGUCACUCAUGAAUUGAACCACCUCUCUACGGGAAGGGAUUCACAAGGUAACUUAAAUCAAACUGUGCAAAUUGGGAAUAGAUGCUGGGAGUGUAUAAUGAGAAGUUAUAUCAGCAGUGAGAAGCAGGAUGACGUUUUAUUAAGACAGCCAACCCAAAUGGAUACAUACCUAUAAGGUAAACUAUUGAAGUAAUGUGAUAAAACUGUGACUGGAAUGAAUGGACAUUAUGCUCAAACUUGCUUUGUUAUGAAGACAUCAUUACAGUUAGUUAUAACAACAUAAUCUACAUUCAAUUACCAUGUAUCACUUGCCAUUUCAAUCCGUUAUCUUUCAAAAGGCCCAAUAAGUAAAGCUUGUGUGUGUGUGUGUGUGCUUGUGUAUGUGUGCGUGCCUGUGUGUGCCUAUGUACAUGUGUGCGUGCUUGCUGGUAUCCAUACCGGAGGGAAAAGGACAUUUGUUGAGUUAAAUCGUGGCAAAGGUGAUUUGGCCUACAUGCAUGUUGACAGCUUUAUGGACUGUUGGCCUUGGAACGUGAGGGGAAAAGGGAAGAGAGCUGGCAUGUUUCCCAGACACGCGCAGGUGAAACAUCAUGGUCAGUGCCCGUGUUAACAGUAACAAUCUGGCACCUAACAAGCGCACCUACAGCCUGUCAGAGGAGACCACUGCGUAGCAAUUUGACUGUGACUGUGUGUGUGCGUGUGUGUGUGUGGGGGGAUUCAGUGUCUGUAUGUGUCUACUGUAUGUGUGUACAUGUGUGUCCCAAUUCAGGAGGGAAUGAUGUCUGAAGCAAUGUGACACUGCUGUGAAUGAGAUGAAGGUUAUGGAAUUCUAAGAACACAAACACUUGCCAAUUGAGGUAAAGUUCAACUGAUGGACCUCUUAAAGCCUGCUGGAGGCCAUCUAUGGAUUGUCAUGAUUUUGAUCUGAUGUAAUCUUGACUGAUUUAGAUGAUUGGCAAUUGUGUCAAAUCCACAAACAAAGAAUACAGUGUUUUGUCAAAAAUCUCCACAUUGACUAUGUGGUCAGUUAGGGCCGCAAUUAUGGGAGCUUCCAGACUAUACAAUUGAUAAAAUAUUUGUUAACUUCAGGAUGUGUAUUUAUGCUUCAGUGGUAAUGCUAGUUUUGUUCUUUGUUCAUUUGUUUGUUUGUCUGUUUUUAAUAGGGGGUAUGUUACUUGAACGUCAUUAUGUGAUUGAUUUUAUGAUGCCUUCUCAACAUGACAACUCGCUGUUAGUGAUAAUGACAUAGUUACGAUAGAAUGAUCCAUUGUGGACUAAGUUCACAGCUCUCUGCCCUUUAACCAUAUUGAGUCUUUGGCAACACUAAGUGCUGCCACACAGCCACACCCUUUCAGUAUUACGUCAUGAGAAUCUUUGUCUGGGCUUGGUGACACAACUGUAAAUGCCACAGCAUGGAGCGUGGUCAUUGCUUUAGCUAACGGACACCUCAGCUAUGUAUGUCUGAUCUCAGGGGAUAUUUCGACUCCAAACACCCGAGCCCCACCAGCAAGAAAUGACACUGAACCGAAUGAGUUGACCUCUCUGGAUUUUUUUUUAUGAGGGCCUUUAAUUGGAUUUUAAUAUCAUUCGAUUGGGAGAAACAUCGCAUUAUAUUCCACUUUGAAUGUAUAAAGGGUCAUGGUUUCACACGUGUAAUUCGUUCUUCUCUUGAGUCACUGUAUAGUCGCCUAUACAGCCAGAGACACGGUGGGCAGUUCAUCUACAGGGCUCAACCUUAAGAAAAUAAUCUGUCCAGCUAGUGACUGUGAGAGAGCAUGAAAGAAAAAUCCCAAAUACAGUUAUUAUCACAUUUUAUUCAAAAUUAAGGAAAAUACUGGUAGGUCUCUAAGUAACGAUUGUCUCUAAAAUAUAUUGCUUUCCAUGAUAAUUUGUGAAGACUUGAAAAGCAUCUCUCACUGCGAUGACAGUUUGUCACAAACCUCAUUUGACAAAUGUCUAAAAAUGACCUCAAUAGUCAGAAAACGAACAAUGCAUAUAGCUCAUGAGUCUACAUGAUAUUAGUUACUUCCAUGUACUGUAAGAAAAGAAAAAUCACUCUCCCACCCAUUGUGGUUGUUGGGUUCUGACCAGACAUCCCAUGUGAGUUGCAAGUUGUGAGAUACCAAGGGGCCUCUCUAACCUGCUGCCAACUAUCCAGUGCACACCUUUUUCAGAGUCCAGGAAAAACACGCUUUACGUCAAUGCAGAGGCUGAGAGAUGGUGUCACUAUUUGGCAAACUGGAUGCCAACCAGCGUGAAUCAUUCUAGAAAGGGAUUUCACUGGAAAAAAUAAACAGCUCUUUUCCAAAUAAUGAGUGAAAUCCCUCCUACUCCCUGUUGUAGUAUUCUUGGAGAGGGGUAAGCCAGAAAAAGUAAGUCCAACUGGCUAGAAACAGUAGAUUUGUUGCUUUUGGGGGAUUUUUCAAAUGCAGUAAUGACACCACUCUGAGUCUGUACAGAAUCACAUUUGAAUACUAAUAAUGUGUUUACAUUAGAGUAAUUCAGACCCUGCAAUGAAAUGAUCGUAUUACAAAAAAAAUAUUUGUAGUGGCAUUUAAUUCAAAACCACUAUUUAUUGCAUCAUCAAUGAGAACAUGGCUAAUAUUUAUGUGGUAUUAAAAUAAACAAUGUGUACUCUGCAAUGAACACAAUGAAAAAGUGAUCUGUGGUAGUCCAUCCUUGUUUCAAAUCCCGUGCAGAAUAUUCAAAAGGGAUUCUUAGUUUUUAGUUUUUCACGACGAUUUCCAUAUUUGCACCGUCAAAGUGUCACGCUUCUUCUCCAAGAGUCACGGAAGCAGCAUAGAGUGUCAUCCAUCCAGCUCAUUGACUGAAGGGAAGUGGUCAGUCAAACCAGCACUGUAUCCGGGGUAACUCCUGACCUUGGCCCUCACAUUUAAGUUCAGGUCUGACCUGAAGUAAAAGCCCCAUUCUUCUCAAAGGCACGCCAUUGUACCAGGGGCAGGUUAGUCUGCAACCUCCCAACACAGGCACACUCACAUUGGCCCUCAACUUAGGGGGCAACCCCUGUGCAACAGAAGAAUUCUUGGGGAAUUUAUGCACCAUCUCCCAGGCUAAUUCAAUUAGACGGGAUCGUGUCGACAGUAUGGCCAUUGUGGCAAAAGCACAAUGUUGCACUUCAUAUCGUCCAAGGCUCGGGGUGGAAUUCUGUGCCAUUUAGCUCCCCCCCCCCCACGCUGCCCACCCCACCCCCACCCCUCAACGGCAUCCUGGCCAUUCUCUUUCUCUGUCCCCCUCUCCCUCUCUGUCUCUCUGUCUGUCCAAUGAUAUGCCUGAGGGUCCUUUGCUGGCCACAGAUAAGGCGAAUCAUUAACCAAUCCCCUGAGAGAGGGCAUUCACAGCCACAGGGCCACGAGGCU